AGUAAUGUAUGGGGAUCUGCCCGAUAGAGGGGGGUAACUACUGGAAACGGUGGCUAAUACCGCAUAAUGUCUACGGACCAAAGCAGGGGCUCUUCGGACCUUGCACUAUCGGAUGAACCCAUAUGGGAUUAGCUAGUAGGUGGGGUAAAGGCUCACCUAGGCGACGAUCUCUAGCUGGUCUGAGAGGAUGAUCAGCCACACUGGGACUGAGACACGGCCCAA
rnacentral:rRNA from 1 species